rnacentral:rRNA from 1 species
UACGAAGGGUGCAAACGUUGCUCGGAAUCAUUGGGCGUAAAGCGCACGUAGGCGGUCCAGCAAGUCGGGUGUGAAAGCCCUCGGCUUAACCGAGGAAGUGCAUUCGAAACUACUGGACUUGAGUACUGAAGAGGAUCGCGGAAUUCCCGGUGUAGAGGUGAAAUUCGUAGAUAUCGGGAGGAACACCAGUGGCGAAGGCGGCGAUCUGGGCAGAUACUGACGCUGAGGUGCGAAAGCGUGGGGAGCAAACAGG